rnacentral:rRNA from 1 species
UACGAGGGGGGCGAGCGUUGUUCGGAUUUAUUGGGCGUAAAGAGCUCGUAGGCGGCUUGUCGCGUCGAAUGUGAAAACUCGGGGCUCAACCCCGCGCUUGCAUUCGAUACGGGCAGGCUCGAGUUCGGUAGGGGAGACUGGAAUUCCUGGUGUAGCGGUGAAAUGCGCAGAUAUCAGGAGGAACACCGGUGGCGAAGGCGGGUCUCUGGGCCGAUACUGACGCUGAGGAGCGAAAGCGUGGGGAGCGAACAGG